CCUGAGACCUAGAGUCCCCUCAGUUAACACUGGAAACACGGCCCCUCCGCAUACAAUGAACAGGCGCCCCGUUUAAUCUUGAUGGGGUGACUUAAGGGCUGUGCGACUUUGGCAAAAUUAUUUAAACUGAGUUUCCUUUUCCUCACCUGAAAGCCAGGAGUGAACAGUGGUCCUCUUUCGUCCCUGCGUGAGGCACAGGGGCCACGUGGCUGAAGGGACAGAAGCACAGCGGACACGCGGCGGUCUGUCCACCCUCACGUCACUCACGCCAGGACUGCUGGCAUUCUGGGUCACUGAAGGUUCGUCAGUGCGCGCGGAGCGUCCACCAUGCGUGAUGCACAGCACCUGAGGUUUUAGAAGACGUGCACAACGUAGAAGAUGCAACCUUCCAGACACUAAACAAGGGGACACACACACUGACCGGACCCUCGUUCUCUCCUGUAGAAUGGCAGAGAGAUGCGGGAGCUAGGGCAGAGAGGUGGUCUGUCGGCUGGAGGCUGUGAAUUCCCACGGGGUUCUGCAGGGGUUUGCUGAGGGGCUUGGACUGGCAGAGACAAGGGCAAAGAGCACUGUGGGUGGACAAAAUGGCACACAUGGCUACGCACAGAGAUAAUAAAACUGAAAUUCAGAGAAGUCAAGUCUCACUUGCCAGAGCCAACAAAUGCUCACGUGUUUUAUGACCACUAGCAGCAAGAGAGCUGGCUUUGCCUGAGAAUCACAGCAGCCUCAGGACCCUCUGAGCAUGGAAUAGGACAUGAAGAAGUCAACGUAACACAGACCAGCAAACCAGAGUGAGGCACUA